GAUGAACGCUGGCGGCGUGCCUAAUACAUGCAAGUCGAGCGAACAGAUAAGGAGCUUGCUCCUUUGACGUUAGCGGCGGACGGGUGAGUAACACGUGGGUAACCUACCUAUAAGACUGGAAUAACUCCGGGAAACCGGGGCUAAUGCCGGAUAACAUUUAGAACCGCAUGGUUCUAUAGUGAAAGAUGGUUUUGCUAUCACUUAUAGAUGGACCCGCGCCGUAUUAGCUAGUUGGUAAGGUAACGGCUUACCAAGGCAACGAUACGUAGCCGACCUGAGAGGGUGAUCGGCCACACUGGAACUGAGACACGGUCCAGACUCCUACGGGAGGCAGCAGUAGGGAAUCUUCCGCAAUGGGCGAAGGCCUGACGGAGCAACGCCGCGUGAGUGAUGAAGGUCUUCGGAUCGUAAAACUCUGUUAUUAGGGAAGAACAAAUGUGUAAGUAACUGUGCACGUCUUGACGGUACCUAAUCAGAAAGCCACGGCUAACUACGUG
rnacentral:rRNA from 1 species